GAUUAUGACGUACUUGUACUGAUUGAGAUUUUAACACGAAGUGAGUGGCGAACGGGUGAGUAACACGUGGGUAACCUGCCCAGAAGUAGGGGAUAACACCUGGAAACAGAUGCUAAUACCGUAUAACAGAGAAAACCGCAUGGUUUUCUUUUAAAAGAUGGCUCUGCUAUCACUUCUGGAUGGACCCGCGGCGUAUUAGCUAGUUGGUGAGGUAAAGGCUCACCAAGGCAGUGAUACGUAGCCGACCUGAGAGGGUAAUCGGCCACAUUGGGACUGAGACACGGCCCAGACUCCUACGGGAGGCAGCAGUAGGGAAUCUUCCACAAUGGACGCAAGUCUGAUGGAGCAACGCCGCGUGAGUGAAGAAGGGUUUCGGCUCGUAAAGCUCUGUUGUUAAAGAAGAACGUGGGUAAGAGUAACUGUUUACCCAGUGACGGUAUUUAACCAGAAAGCCACGGCUAACUACGUGCCAGCAGCCGCGGUAAUACGUAGGUGGCAAGCGUUAUCCGGAUUUAUUGGGCGUAAAGCGAGCGCAGGCGGUCUUUUAAGUCUAAUGUGAAAGCCUUCGGCUCAACCGAAGAAGUGCAUUGGAAACUGGGAGACUUGAGUGCAGAAGAGGACAGUGGAACUCCAUGG
rnacentral:rRNA from 1 species